UGAUGUUACUUCAACUUCUACUUUUUUUAUGUUCCUAAAGUAAAGUUACAUUGUUAAUUUGUAUUUUAUUAAAGAACUCAAAUCCAUUCACACGUUAAUUGUUCAACAAACAAUAAUCGCUGAACAUACAAACUGUAUACAGUAAUGCAACGAUCAUCUUUUCCUUAAUCAGUUACAUAGUAAAGGACAAAAGAUUAGUUCGUGUUGAAGGAGAACGUACGUUUCUAUGUAUAUAUAUAAUAACAUAUUAGGUAAGCAAUGUCUUUAAUAAAUUUUUUUCUCUAUACAACUUUCUUUUUUCGUAUUUUCUAGCGAAUUAAAUAUUGAAUAAACGUUCGUUUUUAUGUGUAUAAUAUCCAUGUGUACAGUGGUGUACCAAGAGUUUACACCAUUUUACUUCCUUAGCACCCCUCAAAAUCAAUUUUUCAGCAUUGAAUACUAAUUAGAUAUCUACCUAGUGUAAGGACA